rnacentral:rRNA from 1 species
UACGAAGGGGGCUAGCGUUGUUCGGAAUUACUGGGCGUAAAGCGCGUGUAGGCGGGUCCUUAAGUCAGGGGUGAAAUGCCAAGGCUCAACCUUGGAACUGCCUUUGAUACUGGAGACCUUGAGUCCGGGAGAGGUGAGUGGAAUUGCGAGUGUAGAGGUGAAAUUCGUAGAUAUUCGCAAGAACACCAGUGGCGAAGGCGGCUCACUGGCCCGGAACUGACGCUGAGACGCGAAAGCGUGGGGAGCAAACAGG